ACUGCCAGCACGAAGGGUACUCUGGUUCGGAUUUUCAACACGGCAGAUGGUACUCUGCUUCAAGAGGUAAGGAGGGGUGCAGAUAGAGCAGAAAUUUAUAGUUUGGCAUUCUCCUCAACUGCUCAGUGGCUGGCAGUUUCAAGUGACAAGGGCACUGUUCAUGUUUUUAGCCUUAAGAUUAAUCCUGGAUCCCCAGGGACUGAUAAGUCACAUAAUACAACUGAUUCUAAUGCUGCAUCUACAUCUUCCACGUCAUCUUUAUCCUUCUUUAAAGGUGUUCUGCCGAAGUAUUUCAGUUCAGAGUGGUCAGUGGCUCAGUUUCGUUUAGUUGAAGGUUCUCAGUACAUUGUUGCUUUUGGUCACCAAAAGAAUACAGUGGUAAUUCUUGGCUUGGAUGGAAGCUUCUAUCGAUGUCAGUUUGACCCAGUGAAUGGUGGAGAGAGAUGACCCAACUGGAAUAUAUCACAACUUCUUGAAGCCAGAAGCCGCCUUCUGAAAGGACGUUUAUGUUUUCAAUUUCUUGGAGACAUGCAUAUAACUUGUAUUUUUCAUCUCUUUUCUUUUCGGCGUUUCCCUCUAAUUCACUUAAUCUAGAAAUGGCUGCAUUAUGCUGCCUGUAAAUAUGUAACUAUGGAUGUGUAAAGCAUGUUAGAAAAAGAAAAGGAGAAAAAAUGAGAAGAAAAAUGAGAGAUGUAAAAUGUUAUUACAUUUCUAUUUUAACAUGAGAUUACGUUAUAAUUUUCAUUCACUAUAAAUUGAGCUAGAAUGUGUUGGAGGCA
rnacentral:misc_RNA from 1 species